UACGUAGGGGGCAAGCGUUGUCCGGAAUCAUUGGGCGUAAAGAGCGCGUAGGCGGCCCAGUCAGUCCGCUCUGAAAGUCAGGGGCUUAACCCCUGAAUGCGGGUGGAUACUGCUGGGCUAGAGUCCGGAAGAGGCGAGUGGGAUUCCUGGUGUAGCGGUGGAAUGCGCAGAUAUCAGGAGGAACACCAAUAGCGAAGGCAGCUCGCUGGGACGGUACUGACGCUGAGACGCGAAAGCGUGGGGAGCGAACAGG
rnacentral:rRNA from 1 species